rnacentral:lncRNA from 1 species
CACAGGUGAGGAGGAUUGUAGAACUGUGGGGAAGAAGGACCACUGUGGCUACCUUAGAAACUGCCGACCACAGGUGUCUGUGUCUGAAACCACCAUGAAGUGCAGGGGGUGGUAUUUCUACUACCAAGAACUCAAGAGCUGCAGGCUGGAGCUAAGCUAUGUCACUAGAGGCAAGAGGGAAGGAACCAAGUCAGAGAUGACAUCAUCACCUUAUAGAUGAGGAAGAACUGAGGAGCAAUGGAAUAUGAGGCUGCAAUUCAUCGUGGCAGGGAACCUGAGGACAGAGCAGAGAGGCUCACAUCAUGGUGACCAAGGAGCAGAAAGAUGGGUUAGGACAGACUUGGUGUCAUGAGUGAAGACAGAAGAAUUAUCUAUGCACUGAUGCUUGUGGAGAAGGUAGUUACAGAGGCGAGGACGCUGAAGCAAAAGCCAAGAGAUGUAGCUUCUGGUCCUGCUGAAAGCAACCAACCAACAGGGAAGCCUGGAGCAUAUUCAUCCCCAUUGCUCAGCCCUUUUCUUGACCAGUCAAGUUUUGGAAUCAGAAGUUAACACCAAUCCAGGUUCCAGUCCAUAUCAACAGCAGAGUAUCUAGUUCUAGAAUGUAUUUGGUUUGCCUGAUAUUGGACAUUUCUGUCAAUUCUGAGUCCCAGGGAUCUGUGGAACUGUGGCCAAGAGGAGUCAAAGCCAUGGACAAUACAUCUUUCUGAUUGGCAGGUACCAUGCUGAGAGCUUUACUAUCAUCAUCUCACAGUCAUUUCCCAAGACAUAGGCUGUUACUGUUCUCGUUCAGAGAUGAAGACUCUAAGCUACCCAGUCAACAAUUUUAAAAGGACUGCCCAUAAAGACAGGUUUUGUUGUUGUUGUUCGUUGUGUUUGUUUGUUUUUGUUUCUUUUGGAAUAAAAGUAUUAUAUUCACGUGGUCUUUUGGGGGUUGAGACUCACAGAUUGGAACGGAACAAAGAAUCUUCACUAUAAAACACACAUCAAGGAAGCCCCUCGUAGUGAGUGUCUGCUCUUCCACCAGGAGGAAGCUGGUUGUCGGGGGCUGAAAUGACUCUACAGUGCCAAUCCAACCUGCCACUGGAUGCUGUAGUCAGAAAUGGUGUGGGAUGAGAGAGGAGGGCAAGUCCCGAGUCUCCGGUGGAAAAUCUGCUUCUGGAUACCUGGUGCUGGGAAGAAAACACUGUCUGAGAUACAGUGCCUCCUCUGUGUAUGGCGCUGGAAGGUUUUCCUGGCCAGUCCUCACUUUGUGCAUUAAAGAAAGAACACUAUAGACACCAGUACUUAGUGUUGGAUGGAAAGACAUACCAGGCCUUCAUCAUGAGCAAUAAGAAUAAAGUUCACUUUGUGUUUAGAAGGAAGACAGGCAAGGUG